AUCACCACGUGUAAAACCUGCCCAAUGUACGCUUAUGUGCGCUUCAAGGACGACGGCGUGAAGGUUGUCGUGCACGAAGAAAGAAUUAAGAGAUUAUCUCCGUAAAGUAUCAGACUUCUACAACAAACAAUGGUACAGUGUACGCUGGGAUGACGAAAACAGCGGAUAUUUCCGAGCCCAGAUUAUGAAGUUGUUUGUAACCAAAGAGGAGGCUGAUGCUUCCGCGGAAAGCUCGAGCAAGAGAUUUUCCUGCCCCCAAAUGCCUAUAGACAACAGUUCAGAAGGCGACACCGCAGCGAGUGGGGAAUCCUACAGAAAGCACAAAAGACAGAAACAAGUGCCAAAAUCUCGUGUGAAGGAUACCAAGGCACAGUUUAGGAAAAAACAGCUGGACCUUUUGUUUCCUCCUGAAGCAUGAAAGGGAGGAGAUUGUCUUCGGCAAGAAG